rnacentral:rRNA from 1 species
GGGUUGUGAGGUUAAGCGACUAAGCGUACACGGUGGAUGCCCUGGCAGUCAGAGGCGAUGAAGGACGUGCUAAUCUGCGAUAAGCGUCGGUAAGGUGAUAUGAACCGUUAUAACCGGCGAUUUCCGAAUGGGGAAACCCAGUGUGUUUCGACACACUAUCAUUAACUGAAUCCAUAGGUUAAUGAGGCGAACCGGGGGAACUGAAACAUCUAAGUACCCCGAGGAAAAGAAAUCAACCGAGAUUCCCCCAGUAGCGGCGAGCGAACGGGGAGCAGCCCAGAGCCUGAAUCAGUGUGUGUGUUAGUGGAAGCGUCUGGAAAGGCGCGCGAUACAGGGUGACAGCCCCGUACACAAAAAUGCACAUGCUGUGAGCUCGAUGAGUAGGGCGGGACACGUGGUAUCCUGUCUGAAUAUGGGGGGACCAUCCUCCAAGGCUAAAUACUCCUGACUGACCGAUAGUGAACCAGUACCGUGAGGGAAAGGCGAAAAGAACCCCGGCGAGGGGAGUGAAAAAGAACCUGAAACCGUGUACGUACAAGCAGUGGGAGCACGCUUAGGCGUGUGACUGCGUACCUUUUGUAUAAUGGGUCAGCGACUUAUAUUCUGUAGCAAGGUUAACCGAAUAGGGGAGCCGAAGGGAAACCGAGUCUUAACUGGGCGUUAAGUUGCAGGGUAUAGACCCGAAACCCGGUGAUCUAGCCAUGGGCAGGUUGAAGGUUGGGUAACACUAACUGGAGGACCGAACCGACUAAUGUUGAAAAAUUAGCGGAUGACUUGUGGCUGGGGGUGAAAGGCCAAUCAAACCGGGAGAUAGCUGGUUCUCCCCGAAAGCUAUUUAGGUAGCGCCUCGUGAAUUCAUCUCCGGGGGUAGAGCACUGUUUCGGCAAGGGGGUCAUCCCGACUUACCAACCCGAUGCAAACUGCGAAUACCGGAGAAUGUUAUCACGGGAGACACACGGCGGGUGCUAACGUCCGUCGUGAAGAGGGAAACAACCCAGACCGCCAGCUAAGGUCCCAAAGUCAUGGUUAAGUGGGAAACGAUGUGGGAAGGCCCAGACAGCCAGGAUGUUGGCUUAGAAGCAGCCAUCAUUUAAAGAAAGCGUAAUAGCUCACUGGUCGAGUCGGCCUGCGCGGAAGAUGUAACGGGGCUAAACCAUGCACCGAAGCUGCGGCAGCGACACUAUGUGUUGUUGGGUAGGGGAGCGUUCUGUAAGCCUGUGAAGGUGUGCUGUGAGGCAUGCUGGAGGUAUCAGAAGUGCGAAUGCUGACAUAAGUAACGAUAAAGCGGGUGAAAAGCCCGCUCGCCGGAAGACCAAGGGUUCCUGUCCAACGUUAAUCGGGGCAGGGUGAGUCGACCCCUAAGGCGAGGCCGAAAGGCGUAGUCGAUGGGAAACAGGUUAAUAUUCCUGUACUUGGUGUUACUGCGAAGGGGGGACGGAGAAGGCUAUGUUGGCCGGGCGACGGUUGUCCCGGUUUAAGCGUGUAGGCUGGUUUUCCAGGCAAAUCCGGAAAAUCAAGGCUGAGGCGUGAUGACGAGGCACUACGGUGCUGAAGCAACAAAUGCCCUGCUUCCAGGAAAAGCCUCUAAGCAUCAGGUAACAUCAAAUCGUACCCCAAACCGACACAGGUGGUCAGGUAGAGAAUACCAAGGCGCUUGAGAGAACUCGGGUGAAGGAACUAGGCAAAAUGGUGCCGUAACUUCGGGAGAAGGCACGCUGAUAUGUAGGUGAAGUCCCUCGCGGAUGGAGCUGAAAUCAGUCGAAGAUACCAGCUGGCUGCAACUGUUUAUUAAAAACACAGCACUGUGCAAACACGAAAGUGGACGUAUACGGUGUGACGCCUGCCCGGUGCCGGAAGGUUAAUUGAUGGGGUUAGCGCAAGCGAAGCUCUUGAUCGAAGCCCCGGUAAACGGCGGCCGUAACUAUAACGGUCCUAAGGUAGCGAAAUUCCUUGUCGGGUAAGUUCCGACCUGCACGAAUGGCGUAAUGAUGGCCAGGCUGUCUCCACCCGAGACUCAGUGAAAUUGAACUCGCUGUGAAGAUGCAGUGUACCCGCGGCAAGACGGAAAGACCCCGUGAACCUUUACUAUAGCUUGACACUGAACAUUGAGCCUUGAUGUGUAGGAUAGGUGGGAGGCUUUGAAGUGUGGACGCCAGUCUGCAUGGAGCCGACCUUGAAAUACCACCCUUUAAUGUUUGAUGUUCUAACGUUGACCCGUAAUCCGGGUUGCGGACAGUGUCUGGUGGGUAGUUUGACUGGGGCGGUCUCCUCCUAAAGAGUAACGGAGGAGCACGAAGGUUGGCUAAUCCUGGUCGGACAUCAGGAGGUUAGUGCAAUGGCAUAAGCCAGCUUGACUGCGAGCGUGACGGCGCGAGCAGGUGCGAAAGCAGGUCAUAGUGAUCCGGUGGUUCUGAAUGGAAGGGCCAUCGCUCAACGGAUAAAAGGUACUCCGGGGAUAACAGGCUGAUACCGCCCAAGAGUUCAUAUCGACGGCGGUGUUUGGCACCUCGAUGUCGGCUCAUCACAUCCUGGGGCUGAAGUAGGUCCCAAGGGUAUGGCUGUUCGCCAUUUAAAGUGGUACGCGAGCUGGGUUUAGAACGUCGUGAGACAGUUCGGUCCCUAUCUGCCGUGGGCGCUGGAGAACUGAGGGGGGCUGCUCCUAGUACGAGAGGACCGGAGUGGACGCAUCACUGGUGUUCGGGUUGUCAUGCCAAUGGCACUGCCCGGUAGCUAAAUGCGGAAGAGAUAAGUGCUGAAAGCAUCUAAGCACGAAACUUGCCCCGAGAUGAGUUCUCCCUGACCCUUUAAGGGUCCUGAAGGAACGUUGAAGACGACGACGUUGAUAGGCCGGGUGUGUAAGCGCAGCGAUGCGUUGAGCUAACCGGUACUAAUGAACCGUGAGGCUUAACCUUACAACGCCGAAGCUGUU